rnacentral:rRNA from 1 species
GACGAACGCUGGCGGCGUGCUUAACACAUGCAAGUCGAACGGAAAGGCCCUGCUUUUGUGGGGUGCUCGAGUGGCGAACGGGUGAGUAACACGUGAGUAACCUGCCCUUGACUUUGGGAUAACUCCAGGAAACUGGGGCUAAUACCGGAUAGGAGCUCCUGCUGCAUGGUGGGGGUUGGAAAGUUUCGGCGGUUGGGGAUGGACUCGCGGCUUAUCAGCUUGUUGGUGGGGUAGUGGCUUACCAAGGCGUUGAUGGGUAGCCGGCCUGAGAGGGUGAUCAGCCACACGGGAACUGAGAGACGGGCCAGACUACUACGGGAGGGAGCAGUGGGGAAUAGGGGACAAUGGGCGGAGGGGUGAUGCAGGCAUGCCGCGUGGGUGAAGAAGGUCUUCGGAUGGGAAAGAAGUGUAAGUGGGGAGGAAGGGCAGUAAGUGAAUAACGGGCUGUUUGGAGGGUACCAAAAGAAUAAGAAACGGCUGACGUCGUG